CUACAGUACCUCCUCUGACUUCCCGGCAGUCCAGGACCAUGAGCAACAGGUGCUGAGCAGCCCUGCACCGAAUGCUGGUUUAAAAAAAAUACUCCAAAUUUGGUGAGCACAACCGGAGCAGGUGGUAGCGUAACAGCGCUCGAGCUAAGCAAACAGCACACCUUGCGGAGCAGCUAAGGGCAAGGGGAGAGCUGUGGGAGCGUACGGAGGGGAACAGAACCCCCAGCCGCGGAAACCGACUCCACCUUUCUGCGGGCGGGGGAGAGGAUGGAGAACCGGGGAGGGUCCGCAGGGAUGGAAUAAGAAAAAGCAAGAAAAAGAGAGAGAGCGAGUCUUGUUUAUACUGCCGUUGAAGACAAGCUGUCGAAUAAACCUGUGCUCGAUAGUGCGUGUAAGGUUGUGUUUGUAAAAGCUGUGUUUGUUUUUGCAUUUUUUUUCUUUGUUGUUUUUCUGGUCAUGAGAAAAUUUGGUCUUUGUCUCAAA